rnacentral:rRNA from 1 species
GAUGAACGCUGGCGGCGUGCUUAACACAUGCAAGUCGAGCGAAGCAGUUAAGAAGAUUCUUCGGAUGAUUCUUGACUGACUGAGCGGCGGACGGGUGAGUAACGCGUGGGUGACCUGCCCCAUACCGGGGGAUAACAGCUGGAAACGGCUGCUAAUACCGCAUAAGCGCACAGAGCUGCAUGGCUCGGUGUGAAAAACUCCGGUGGUAUGGGAUGGGCCCGCGUCUGAUUAGGCAGUUGGCGGGGUAACGGCCCACCAAACCGACGAUCAGUAGCCGGCCUGAGAGGGCGACCGGCCACAUUGGGACUGAGACACGGCCCAAACUCCUACGGGGGGCAGCAGUGGGGAAUAUUGCACAAUGGGGGAAACCCUGAUGCAGCGACGCCGCGUGAGCGAAGAAGUAUUUCGGUAUGUAAAGCUCUAUCAGCAGGGAAGAUAAUGACGGUACCUGACUAAGAAGCCCCGGCUAACUACGUGCCAGCAGCCGCGGUAAUACGUAGGGGGCAAGCGUUAUCCGGAUUUACUGGGUGUAAAGGGAGCGUAGACGGCAAGGCAAGUCUGAUGUGAAAACCCAGGGCUUAACCCUGGGACUGCAUUGGAAACUGUCUGGCUCGAGUGCCGGAGAGGUAAGCGGAAUUCCUAGUGUAGCGGUGAAAUGCGUAGAUAUUAGGAAGAACACCAGUGGCGAAGGCGGCUUACUGGACGGUAACUGACGUUGAGGCUCGAAAGCGUGGGGAGC